rnacentral:rRNA from 1 species
AACGAACGCUGGCGGCGUGGAUUAGGCAUGCAAGUCGUACGCGAAAGAGGGAGCAAUCCCUUGAGUAGAGUGGCGAACGGGUGAGUAACGCGUGAGGAACCUGCCUUUGACAGGGGGAUAACACUCCCAACGGGGUGCUAAUACCGCAUGAGACCACGGGAUCGCAUGAUCCUGAGGUCAAAGAUGGCCUCUAUUUAUAAGCUAUCGGUCGAAGAUGGCCUCGCGUCCCAUUAGCUUGUUGGCGGUGUAAAAGACCACCAAGGCGACGAUGGGUAGCUGGUCUGAGAGGAUGGUCAGCCACACUGGGACUGAGAUACGGCCCAGACUCCUACGGGAGGCAGCAGUCGAGAGGCUUCGGCAAUGGGGGAAACCCUGACCGAGCGACGCCGCGUGGAGGAUGAAGGCCUUAGGGUUGUAAAGCUCUUUUAAGUGGGAAGAUAAUGACGGUACCACUAGAAUAAGCCCCGGCUAACUUCGUGCCAGCAGCCGCGGUAAU